rnacentral:misc_RNA from 1 species
GAUGAAGAACGCAGCGAAAUGCGAUAAGUAGUGUGAAUUGCAGAAUUCAGUGAAUCAUCGAAUCUUUGAACGCACAUUGCGCCCCUUGGUAUCCCGAGGGGCAUGCCUGUUCGAGCGUCAUUUCACCACUCAAGCCUGGCUUGGUGUUGGGCGACGUCCUCUUUGGGGACGCGCCUCGAAACGCUCGGCGGCGUGGCACCGGCUUUAAGCGUAGCAGAAUCUUUCGCUUUGGAAGUCGGGGCCCCGUCUGCCGGAAGACCUGCUCGCAAGGUUGACCUCGGAUCAGGCAGGGAUACCCGCUGAACUUAAGCUUAUCAAUAAGCGGAGGA